rnacentral:lncRNA from 1 species
UGAUGGCAGCAGGGAAGAAGGCCUGGCUAGAUAACAGGUCAAGCCUGAUGGCAGCAGGGAAGAAGAAGGCCUGGCUAGAUAACAGGUCAAGCCUGAUGGCAGCAGGGAAGAAGAAGGCCUGGCUAGAUAACAGGUCAAGCCUGAAGGCAGCAGGGAAGAAGAAGGCCUGGCUAGAUAACAGGUCAAGCCUGAUGGCAGCAGGGAAGAAGGCCUGGCUAGAUAACAGGUCAAGCCCGAAGGCAGCAGGGAAGAAGACCUGGCUAGAUAACAGGUCAAGCCUGAAGGCAGCAGGGAAGAAGAAGGCCUGGCUAGAUAACAGGUCAAGCCAGAUGGCAGCAGGGAAGAAGGCCUGGCUAGAUAACAGGUCAAGCCUGAUGGCAGCAGGGAAGAAGGCCUGGCUAGAUAACAGGUCAAGCCUGAUGGCAGCAGGGAAGAAGGCCUGGCUAGAUAACAGGUCAAGCCUGAUGGCAGCAGGGAAGAAGAAGGCCUGGCUAGAUAACAGGUCAAGCCUGAAGGCAGCAGGGAAGAAGAAGGCCUGGCUAGAUAACAGGUCAAGCCUGAUGGCAGCAGGGAAGAAGAAGGCCUGGCUAGAUAACAGGUCAAGCCUGAUGGCAGCAGGGAAGAAGAAGGCCUGGCUAGAUAACAGGUCAAGCCUGAUGGCAGCAGGGAAGAAGAAGGCCUGGCUAGAUAACAGGUC